rnacentral:rRNA from 1 species
UGGGGAAUAUUGGACAAUGGACCGAGAGUCUGAUCCAGCAAUUCUGUGUGCACGAUGAAGUUUUUCGGAAUGUAAAGUGCUUUCAGUUGGGAAGAAAGAAAUGACGGUACCAACAGAAGAAGCACCGGCUAACUCCGUGCCAGCAGCCGCGGUAAUACGGAGGGUGCGAGCGUUAAUCGGAAUAACUGGGCGUAAAGGGCACGCAGGCAGUUAUUUAAGUGAGGUGUGAAAGCCCCGGGCUUAACCUGGGAAUUGCAUUUCAGACUGGGUAACUAGAGUACUUUAGGGAGGGGUAGAAUUCCACGUGUAGCGGUGAAAUGCGUAGAGAUGUGGAGGAAUACCGAAGGCGAAGGCAGCCCCUUGGGAAUGUACUGACGCUCAUGUGCGAAAGCGUGGGGAGCAAACAGGAUUAGAUACCCUGGUAGUCCACGCUGUAAACGCUGUCGAUUUGGGGGUUGGGGUUUAACUCUGGCGCCCGUAGCUAACGUGAUAAAUCGACCGCCUGGGGAGUACGGCCGCAAGGUUA